CCAAAGGCUCUUCUUAGAGCCACCUACAGUUUCAUUAAGAGCAGCU
rfam:Monodelphis domestica chromosome 2, whole genome shotgun sequence.